rnacentral:lncRNA from 1 species
AGCAUUUUAUUUCAAAAUAUAUUAACCAUUCUGUGCUUACAAAGGACUGCUGUGUGAAUACAAUAUUAAGUUAAAAGCUUUUUAAACCUGCUACAAAGAAAACGUUUUUAUUAGGAAGAGGACUGGUGCAUACAAUCAAAAUAGUUUAAAUACCUCUGCAGUCCACACAAGUAUUUCUCAAUUUUAACUCACACGUUUUGUUCCGCCACAGAGGGACACAGGGGUUAUAUUUUCAAUAUUAUACAUGCAAAACCAGGUACCGUACCAAAACCAAUUAUGAUAACACCAGUUUUGAACAUCGUUCCACUCUGAAGAUGUAUCACAUGUACAGUUAAAAAUAAAAUUUGUGUCAACAAACAGUAGAAGUUAUUGCUCCAGAUCCCCACAGGUGCUGGGUCGGAAUGCACGCUUUAGAACCACCCGUGCUCCAUAAUGUGAAAGAUAUGCUGUUGGGUUUAAGUAGGGUCUAGCCAGUCUCAGGACAUGGUGUCAAAGCUUUCUUUGGAUUUGGUUUGGUGAGAUUUACCAAAGGAAAAAAAAAACCUUCCCUAAUCUUCCGAAUAAAACAUCAAACACUAGUUAACAUACAUAUAUAUAUAUUAUCUGUAUAGGUAAACACCUAUUGGUAUAAAAAGUUGGUUUCCAACAAUCAUUGAAGCAUAGAAAAUUCAUUUUAAAGGUAAGCAAUCCAAACAAAUUUUAUGCUUGCAGAACAUACAAGUGAUGACAGAUGACGGAAACUGAAAACAUUGAUCUACACAGGCAGGAAGAUACAAACACCACAAAAAUAUUUCUUACUGAUACUUCUUGAAAAAGCUUCAGUUUUGGGCUGAGACUGGCAGAAAGGGGCCCAAAAUGCGGAUUUUGAUUCCCUCCCCUUAUGGCCUGGAUGCCAGUUUUUAAGCUCUGUGAACUUUUGUUCUGUGGCUACUAUUUGGCUUUGUGAUUCCUCUUGCAUUUAAUCUACACCAAUACCAUAAAAAGUUACUUUGACUUUAGGUGCUCAUUGGAUCAUUGUAUGUAACAGUCAAGUGACAAAAAGUGAGGCUAGGAAAAGAAAUCAACAUUUUUGCUACACACCAUCACGACGAAAAUUCUUCUUAUAUGUGGAUGUUAGAGCACUCACUCUGUCUUUAUAAGCUUACAAAUGCAUCCUGCUGCAAGCAGAUAUACCCUGCUUCUAACACAACUCUAGCUUUAGUAUCACCAUACAGUGCUAUAAUUCAAAGAAUAAUCUCUAAUUCAACGCAACAUGAAUUAUGUUUAUCCAAGCCCAUCCAUAUGCAGAGCACAUCAAGGAUGCAUUUACUUGCCAAUUAGCAAUUCCUUCCUGAACUGGAC